GUGAGGAAUUUUCCGCAAUGGGCGAAAGCCUGACGGAGCAAUGCCGCGUGAAGGAUGAAGGCCUAUGGGUUGUAAACUUCUUUUCUCAGAAAAGAAUUAUGACGGUAUCUGAGGAAUAAGCAUCGGCUAACUCUGUGCCAGCAGCGGCGGUAAGACAGAGGAUGCAAGCGUUAUCCGGAAUGAUUGGGCGUAAAGCGUCUGUAGGUUGUUUAAAAAGUAUUCUGUCAAAGAUUAGGGCUUAACCCUAGAUAGGCAGAAUAAACUUUUAAGCUAGAGUUUGGUAGAGGCAGAGGGAAUUCCCGGUGGAGCGGUGAAAUGCGUAGAUAUCGGGAGGAACACCAAAGGCGAAGGCACUCUGCUGGGCCAAUACUAACACUGAGAGACGAAAGCGAGGGGAGCAAAUGGGAUUAGAUACCCUAGUAGUCC
rnacentral:rRNA from 1 species